CCUACGGGUGGCAGCAGUGGGGAAUAUUGCACAAUGGGGGAAACCCUGAUGCAGCGACGCCGCGUGAGUGAGGAAGUAUUUCGGUAUGUAAAGCUCUAUCAGCAGGGAAGAAAAUGACGGUACCUGACUAAGAAGCCCCGGCUAACUACGGGCCAGCAGCCGCGGUAAUACGUAGGGGGCAAGCGUGAUCCGGAUUUACUGGGUGGACAGGGAGCGUAGACGGCUAAUCAAGUCAGAAGGGAAAACCCAGGGCUCCACCUUGGGACUGCUUUUGAAACUGCGUAGCUAGAGUGCAGGAGAGCUAAGCGGAAUUCCUCGUGUAGCGGUGAAAUGCGUCGAUAUUAG
rnacentral:rRNA from 1 species